rnacentral:misc_RNA from 1 species
UUUCCGUAGGUGAACCUGCGGAAGGAUCAUUCAUAAUAAGUGUUUUAUGGCACUUUCUUAAAUCCAUAUCCACCUUGUGUGCAAUGUCAGGGUUGAUUUUUCUCUCGAGAGGAUCAACCCCAAACAUCAACUAUAUCUCAACUCUUUGUCUGAAAAAUAUUAUGAAUAAAACAAUUCAAAAUACAACUUUCAACAACGGAUCUCUUGGCUCUC